GUGGUGCGGCGGGCGGAGAGGCUACCGUUGCCGCUGCUGACGCCCGCUCCUGCUGCGGAGUCGCCCUCGCCGGAGCGGGAGGCGGCUGGCGCCCUGUCGCCGAGGGCCCAUGGCGUCGAACGCAUAUACUACCACCCCGACCAAAUCCAAGUGGCGCGGGAUCGAUUCGUGCUGCGGGAGUGCUGGACUACCUGCUGGACGCCGCCAUGAAGUAGGGCAACGCGCCGGGAGUCGCCACACGCACCGUGCCGAAUAUGGAGAUGGGCCAAUGGCCGGGCUGUUCAUUGCGUGCCGCUGCAUAGUGUUUGGCGCGACGACACCUAUGCGGAGGCGUUCGAGGUGGAUCCGGAGAAGGUGCUUGAAGCCAAGAAGCAAGCGGCAGCUGACCGAGCUCAACGAGGUAUCAGCACUCACAUGCCCAAUCCCAGUAGUUGUGCCAUUAACUGUGCUUUUUUGCGAUAUAGAACCACCACCUCUGUUACUGCAGCUCGUAUAGGUCUACCAGUAAUUGUUUUGAUGAUCUAAUUCAAGUAAUUCCUAUUCCUGCUGUUGUGCCACAAUAGGAAGAAGAGUUUUAGUGAAAUUCCAAGAAACAUGUAAACGCAUCCUUUAGAACCUUUCGAGCUCAAGCUCAAUAAAUAACAGAGGCCGCUCGCCGGGUGGUACCCGCUUGCGGGGCGCCUCGCCGUGUCCGACGACUCCGGGAGGCUCCACGUCGACUGCAGCGGAGAGGGCAUCUGGUUCAUCGAGGCCGCCGUGCGGUGCCGCAGCUCGAGGAUGUUGAGUACCCGCUGCAGAUCCCCAAGGACGACCUGCUCCCGCACCCGUUAUUUCAUUGCUUAAUUUGGACUUGUUUUGUUGCUCUGGUGUUGACUACCUGGCCAGGUCAUUGCAGAGCAGCUUCUUCCUCCAGGCUUCUGCGGAUCUCCUGCAGCGCCGCCACCAUGGGAGAUGAGACCUCGACCUCCGUUCCUGCCCAGGAGCAGGAACCUGCUGUGGAUGCAGGGAGUGUCAAGCAACACCUCAACAGGCUGGUCAUUUCAUCCCUCUGGGCUACGGUGCCUGAAGUUUCAGCAAAGUUUGCUAACUACCAGUGAGUUGAGAACCUGAACAAAUUCCGUAAAGAAGAGGGGUUUAUCCAACAUUGGUAUGCACUGAUCAGGCAUCUAGAGGUCUGGACUUGGAUGUUGACCAUGUCAUCAUGUUUGACUUCCCAUCGAAUUUGAUUGAUUACCUUCACAGAACUGCACGAACUAACUGCACGUGGGAGCCAAAGGGAAAGUUACAAGCCUUGUGGCUAAGAAAUAUGUGGCUUUAGCUACUCGGAUAGAAGAGGCCAUCAAGAAAAAUUAGAGCUUGGAAGCUCUAACGACUAACAAUGCCAGAAGAGCUACCAACACACAGAGUGCGAGCACCAAAGGAAGGACCUCAAGGUCGGUUAAGACUUCAAGUGCCCUUAAGUUGUGAAUCAGAGGGGUAGAAGGGGAGUUGUGCUAUCUGGCAAGUCAUUGAGGACUCCCAAGGACAGCACAUCAACCUGAAGGCGCUCACCGCCAAAGAUCCAGCCAAAAGCGACGAAAUCGACAGCCCCGCACAAAGCCAAUGUGGUGAAACCCGCCAAGAACAGCGUGAAGGUUUCAAAGAGCAAAGCAAAACCUGAGGGCUGAAAGGCCAAGGGCGAUGUUCUGAACAAGCUGGGAACUAAGCUCAGUGUGGUUGGAUUCAGAGGUUGCAGCUCGGGCAAAUCUGUGCAAUCUUUAUAAGAGGCCUGGAGAUUUUUUUAAAAAAAAUUUCCCCUGCUUAAGAAAGAGCUGUAGAUUUCAGAUAAUGCAUCAUCUGUAAAUAUCUGAGACUUUUUCAAUUUUUCCCUUGCGGUGCGGGCGUACAAGUUAAUUAUAGAGUAGAAUCAAGAUCUUAACACAGCACAUCUAUGUAAUACUUAUACAUAAUGUUGGGAUUAUGUUGUAUUGCCUGUGCCCACGAACGAGUGCAUCUAUGCUCAUUGUUUUUCUUUUGAAA